rnacentral:rRNA from 1 species
GAUGAACGCUAGCGGCAGGCUUAACACAUGCAAGUCGAGGGGCAGCGGGGAGUAGCAAUACUCCGCCGGCGACCGGCGCACGGGUGCGUAACGCGUAUGCAACCUACCUUUAACAGGGGCAUAACACUGAGAAAUUGGUACUAAUUCCCCAUAACAUUCGAGAAGGCAUCUUCUUGGGUUAAAAACUCCGGUGGUUAAAGAUGGGCAUGCGUUGUAUUAGCUAGUUGGUGAGGUAACGGCUCACCAAGGCAACGAUACAUAGGGGGACUGAGAGGUUAACCCCCCACAUUGGUACUGAGACACGGACCAAACUCCUACGGGAGGCAGCAGUGAGGAAUAUUGGUCAAUGGACGCAAGUCUGAACCAGCCAUGCCGCGUGCAGGAAGACGGCUCUAUGAGUUGUAAACUGCUUUUGUACUAGGGUAAACGCUUCUACGUGUAGGAGCCUGAAAGUAUAGUACGAAUAAGGAUCGGCUAACUCCGUGCCAGCAGCCGCGGUAAUACGGAGGAUCCAAGCGUUAUCCGGAUUUAUUGGGUUUAAAGGGUGCGUAGGCGGUUUGAUAAGUUAGAGGUGAAAUACCGGGGCUCAACUCCGGAACUGCCUCUAAUACUGUUGAACUAGAGAGUAGUUGCGGUAGGCGGAAUGUAUGGUGUAGCGGUGAAAUGUUUAGAGAUCAUACAGAACACCGAUUGCGAAGGCAGCUUACCAAACUAUAUCUGACGUUGAGGCACGAAAGCGUGGGGAGCAAACAGGAUUAGAUACCCUGGUAGUCCACGCAGU